AGCGGUUGUUAUGGAAGUAAGCUGAAGCUUCUGUUGUGGUGCGACUCUCUUUCCUGGAGGAUUAAGGGCGUAUACUAUCAUUCUUUUCAUUGUCUGUUGGUAUUCAAUAAUCCGAGGGAGCGGCCUUUCACCUUUGAGGAGAUAAAUGAAGUUCGAGAAAAAUUGGCAAACUUCAUCACCAGUGAUUGUCUUUGAUAUUUUCUUGUAAACUGAAUCUUAAAUUAUGAAUGUUAGUUUUUCAUAUGAUUGUAAUGUAAUUGACUUUUAUAUUUAUAAUUAUAUACUAUUUAAUUUAAUUAUCUAUAUAAUUGGAUAAUUUUUAUGUGA